rnacentral:rRNA from 1 species
UACGGAGGGGGCUAGCGUUGUUCGGAAUUACUGGGCGUAAAGCGCACGUAGGCGGCUUUGUAAGUCAGGGGUGAAAGCCUGGAGCUCAACUCCAGAACUGCCUUUGAGACUGCAUCGCUUGAAUCCGGGAGAGGUAAGUGGAAUUCCGAGUGUAGAGGUGAAAUUCGUAGAUAUUCGGCGGAACACCAGUGGCGAAGGCGACUCACUGGCCCGAUACUGACGCUGAGGCGCGAAAGCGUGGGGAGCAAACAGG